AGUGAACGCUGGCGGCGUGCUUAACACAUGCAAGUCGAACGAGAACGGGUUAUAGCUUGCUAUAAUUGUCAGCUAAGUGGCGCACGGGUGAGUAAUGUAUAGGUAAUAUGCCUCUUACUAAGGGAUAACAAAUGGAAACGUUUGCUAAUACCUUAUACUCCUUAUUAACAGAAGUUAAUAAGGGAAAGAUUAUUGGUAAGAGAUUAGCCCGUAUUGUAUCAGUUAGUUGGUGGGGUAAUGGCUUACCAAGACUAUGACACAUAACUGGUUUGAGAGGAUGAUCAGUCACACUGGAACUGAGACACGGUCCAGACUCCUACGGGAGGCAGCAGUGGGGAAUAUUGCACAAUGGACGAAAGUCUGAUGCAGCAACGCCGCGUGGAGGAUGACACAUUUCGGUGCGUAAAAUUCUUUCACCGGGGACGAUAAUGACGGUACCCGGAGAAGAAGACUCCGGCUAACUUCGUG
rnacentral:rRNA from 1 species